GCGAGAAAGAAAUUGGUCGCCAUCUUGGAUUAUGUACGUUGAUUUGUUUCUUUGAACAUUGGUUGAAGGUAACACUGAGUGGAAUUUCAUGAAGAAACACUUCCCUCUGCUGGGUGGAUGCCAGUGGAACUUUGCAAGACAGCUUUGGCCAGGAAGGAGCUUUCACAACUCAACUUGUGUGGCCACCCAAAAAGUGAGGCUGAUUCCAAAGUUUUGGAGCAACGCUGCACAGCUAGUCCUUGGGUUUCCAGAGGCUUGAGGAAAUGAGAAGAAGAAGAGGAAGAGAGAGAGCCUCACCGUCUCUACCUGCCUGACCUACCGCAGCGCAUCACGAGGCACAGAGGAAGGCUGAAAUCAGAGGGGAGGAGGAAGGAACGACUGAUGGGACGGGAUUGGUGGCGACAGGGGGUGGUACCAUGCUGGUUGCCCAUCAGCACAUCCUCGCUGACAGCCGAUGGCCUGUCCGUCAGCAGCCAAGCUGCACUCCCUCGCCAUCCCUUGUGUCCAAGUCCUGAGAGGGAAAGGAAAGCUGGUUGGGGAGAUGCAGUCAACAAGGUGGUAGGAAUUUUAAUGACUGGCUUUCUGCUGCCUUUCCCUCUCCCGUCGUUCUGGCACUCAAAUAAUGAUCUGGCAGACUUUGAUGUUUGGCACCUUCUUUCCUUCCCUCAAAAGAGUGGUGGACAGAAUAAAAGGCAUGUCCACCACACAUCCCUGCCCACU